rnacentral:rRNA from 1 species
GAUGAACGCUAGCGACAGGCUUAACACAUGCAAGUCGAGGGGCAGCGAGGCGGUGCUUGCACCGCUGUCGGCGACCGGCGCACUGGUGAGUAACACGUAUGCGACCUGCCCCCUACAGGGGAAUAACCCGUAGAAAUGCGGCCUAAUUCCCCAUAGUCCCAAAGGCUGCAUGGCUUUUGGGGGAAAGGUUCACUCCGGUAGGGGAUGGGCAUGCGGCGCAUUAGCUAGUUGGCGGGGUAACGGCCCACCAAGGCGACGAUGCGUAGGGGUUCUGAGAGGAAGGUCCCCCACACUGGUACUGAGACACGGACCAGACUCCUACGGGAGGCAGCAGUGAGGAAUAUUGGUCAAUGGGCGAGAGCCUGAACCAGCCAAGUCGCGUGAGGGAAGACGGGUCCUACGGGAUUGUAAACCUCUUUUGUCGGGGAGUAAUGGUUUGUAAUGACGGUAGUAAACGAAUAAGCCACGGCUAACUACGUG